UACGUAGGGGGCAAGCGUUGUCCGGAAUUAUUGGGCGUAAAGAGCGUGUAGGCGGCCCGAUAAGUCCGCUGUGAAAGUCCAGGGCUCAACCCUGGAAUGCCGGUGGAUACUGUCGGGCUCGAAUCCGGAAGAGGCGAGUGGAAUUCCUGGUGUAGCGGUGAAAUGCGCAGAUAUCAGGAGGAACACCAAUUGCGAAGGCAGCUCGCUGGGACGUUACUGACGCUGAGACGCGAAAGCGUGGGGAGCAAACAGG
rnacentral:rRNA from 1 species